CUGGCGGCACGCCUAAACAUGCAAGUCGAACGAAGUAGCAAUACUUAGUGGCAGACGGGUGAGUAACAUGUGGGUAUCUGCCCUUUGGCCUGGAAUAACACGAGGAAACUUGUGCUAAUACUGGAUAAGUCUUUACGGAGAAAGCUUUAUGCACCAUUGGAUGAGCCCGCACUUGAUUAGUUUGUUGGUGGGGUAACGGCCUACCAAGACUGUGAUCAAUAGCUGAUUUGAGAGGAUGAUCAGCCACAUUGGGACUGAGACACGGCCCAAACUCCUACGGGAGGCAGCAGUGGGGAAUCUUGCACAAUGGAGGAAACUCUGAUGCAGCGAUGCCGCGUGAGUGAAGAAGGCCUUUGGGUUGUAAAGCUCUUUCGUCGGGGAAGAAAAUGACUGUACCCGAAUAAGAAGGUCCGGC
rnacentral:rRNA from 1 species